CCUACGGGAGGCAGCAGUGGGGAAUAUUGGGCAAUGGGCGCAAGCCUGACCCAGCAACGCCGCGUGAAGGAAGAAGGCUUUCGGGUUGUAAACUUCUUUUGUCAGGGAAGAGUAGAAGACGGUACCUGACGAAUAAGCCACGGCUAACUACGUGACAGCAGCCGCGGUAAUACGUAGGUGGCAGGCGUUGUCCGGAUUUACUGGGUGUAAAGGGCGUGUAGCCGGGUUGACAAGUCAGAUGUGAAAUCCUGCGGCUUAACCGCAGAACUGCAUUUGAAACUGUUGAUCUUGAGUACUGGAGAGGUAGAUGGAAUUCCUAGUGUAGCGGUGAAAUGCGUAGAUAUUAGGAGGAACACCAGUGGCGAAGGCGGUCUGCUGGACAGCAACUGACGGUGAGGCGCGAAAGCGUGGGGAGCAAACAGGAUUAGAUACCCGUGUAGUC
rnacentral:rRNA from 1 species